UGGUUACCCGCAACUGUGCGAACAUUUGUUUACAGUUCUCCAUACAUAUGUAAGUUUGGCGUGAAUGUUUAUUUCACACAAGAUUUGAUUGCCCUCCAUUCUAGCUUUUUAUUGCCAUUGGCAGCUCUAAUCACACUAUCAAUAAAUGGAAUUUUUUCUGCGUCUUCCAACUUGUUUACCUAAUUAUUUAUAGAAAUCAGCUGCUUUUAUCAGCAAAACAAGGCGCUUGGAAAAACAUAAGUAGGAUGGCAACUCUGUCCCUUUACUGGUGUACGUGCCGCCACACACACACGGACACGAGUGAAGCACAUCGAAUCGCAAGUAGAAGUUAAGUUAAACGUCCAUAUUUUAAAUGAAAUUGCGAAAAUUAAAAUGUAUUUGCACGGCAGACUUGACGAAAUUCGUGCAUACAUUUAGUAUGUAAAGUGAAUAUGCAGAAAACACAAAGGAGGCAACAACAAACACACACACACAAAUGGGCUCUCAAGUGCAGUGGUGUUGGUGUGCCCGAUUGAAUGAACCUCCCUCAACCCAAAAAAAAGAGCAACAACAAACACAGCAGCGGCAAUGAUAAUACAUACAGCGCACUGUUUCAUUCAAGUGUGCACCAGAGCGGCGACAAGAUGGGGAGCUAGGAAUCCGGAGAGAUGGGCCAGUCCAUUGGCCAAUCCCGAAAGCAAUCCCGCGAAGGAGGGCGCAAAGUAGAGCAGCGUGGGCCAGUAGCCACUGAAACCCAUAUCCGUAGUGGCCAUCAUGAAGGCAAACAUCACAAGUACUAGUAUUUUGUCAUCACAAUCAACCAGGAUGAUGACCCCAAUCAAAGAAGUGGUCAGGAUGCUGCCUGGUAUUAUAAAAUGGGAUAUAAAAGAGAGAUUGGUGAUGUUUCUGGAGAUGCUACGGAAAUCUAUAUAGGAAUCCACUAAAGGAAGGUGUUCUUUAUAGAUGUCUGUGUCACUCCGACUAUCGGUAAGCCUUACAGAUCCCGUACAGCAUUCUCCGCACACAGUUCUGGUCAGGACCCACGCGUCGUUCCACGUAGCUGCCACCCAGGAUGCACAUGACCUUCGAGCAGAUCCCACCCAGAUACGGCGCCGCCGAGAGAAAGCCCACCUCGCGCAGAUCGAACUCCAUGGCCUCGCGCAUAAAUCGCGGCAUCAGUUGGACAAUCACCAGGAAGGUGUAGGUGUGGAACAUGUGGGUCAGGAUGAAGGCGUAGACGGGCGGCGCGGCGAGCAGGCUCUUCCAGGGAAUGGUUACCACCUAAAAAGAAGGUAUUUAAUUUAUAAUUUUAAAGUUAAAAGCACCAAUAACUACUCACAGGCUGCUGCUUUAGUCCCAAUUGACUCUUGCCCUGCAUCAGGUAAUCCACCUCCUCAUCCGAUAUCCUUGGAUGCUGCUCUACGGUGUCGUAAACGAGAAAACAGCAGGCAAUGCCGAAUAAGAGGCCAACUCCACCGACUACAUAGAAGGACAGCUCCCAGCCGAAGUUGCUCAGGUAACUGGCCACCGGGUAAACCAACAUGGAGCCCAUCAGAAGGCCGCUGUAGGCGAAGGACAGAAGCGCCGUUCUCUCUGUGGGAUGAGCCCAGGUCACGAACAGCUUGUACAUGGCCGGAUUUCCACAGCCCUGUCAAGGAGCAGGAUAUAUAUAUAUAUCUAUUAGUAUCUGAAAUAUGCUAAUCCUUACCGCCAGUAAGCCACAAAUGACCAGAUCAACCACUCCGGCCUCGAAACUAAAGUGCGCCAUCGCUGGCAGAAGGAUGUAGGCCGCCGCCUCAAAGAUCAGGGACACGAUGAACAGUCGCUUGCUGCUGCACCGAUCUGCCAGGUAGCCGGAUAGCGAGAUGGAAACCACGUAGCCAUAGUAGUAGACACCUGGGAAGGUCAACUCCUGGUUUCGAGUCCAUGUGAGAUUUCUACUUGCCUGAGUUUCCUGGAACUGUGGGUUAAAAACGACCCGAGGAGAUCCACAUCGCCCCGUGGAGGUGACAUUGUCCUCCGUUAGGCGUCCCAACUCCGCUGGAACGACCAGUGCAUCCUCCGGCCGG